UUGAAGAGUUUGAUCAUGGCUCAGAUUGAACGCUGGCGGCAGGCCUAACACAUGCAAGUCGAACGGUAACAGAAAGCAGCUUGCUGCUUUGCUGACGAGUGGCGGACGGGUGAGUAAUGUCUGGGAAACUGCCUGAUGGAGGGGGAUAACUACUGGAAACGGUAGCUAAUACCGCAUAACGUCGCAAGACCAAAGAGGGGGACCUUCGGGCCUCUUGCCAUCGGAUGUGCCCAGAUGGGAUUAGCUUGUUGGUGGGGUAACGGCUCACCAAGGCGACGAUCCCUAGCUGGUCUGAGAGGAUGACCAGCCACACUGGAACUGAGACACGGUCCAGACUCCUACGGGAGGCAGCAGUGGGGAAUAUUGCACAAUGGGCGCAAGCCUGAUGCAGCCAUGCCGCGUGUAUGAAGAAGGCCUUCGGGUUGUAAAGUACUUUCAGCGGGGAGGAAGGGAGUAAAGUUAAUACCUUUGCUCAUUGACGUUACCCGCAGAAGAAGCACCGGCUAACUCCGUGCCAGCAGCCGCGGUAAUACGGAGGGUGCAAGCGUUAAUCGGAAUUACUGGGCGUAAAGCGCACGCAGGCGGUUUGUUAAGUCAGAUGUGAAAUCCCCGGGCUCAACCUGGGAACUGCAUCUGAUACUGGCAAGCUUGAGUCUCGUAGAGGGGGGUAGAAUUCCAGGUGUAGCGGUGAAAUGCGUAGAGAUCUGGAGGAAUACCGGUGGCGAAGGCGGCCCCCUGGACGAAGACUGACGCUCAGGUGCGAAAGCGUGGGGAGCAAACAGGAUUAGAUACCCUGGUAGUCCACGCCGUAAACGAUGUCGACUUGGAGGUUGUGCCCUUGAGGCGUGGCUUCCGGAGCUAACGCGUUAAGUCGACCGCCUGGGGAGUACGGCCGCAAGGUUAAAACUCAAAUGAAUUGACGGGGGCCCGCACAAGCGGUGGAGCAUGUGGUUUAAUUCGAUGCAACGCGAAGAACCUUACCUGGUCUUGACAUCCACAGAACUUUCCAGAGAUGGAUUGGUGCCUUCGGGAACUGUGAGACAGGUGCUGCAUGGCUGUCGUCAGCUCGUGUUGUGAAAUGUUGGGUUAAGUCCCGCAACGAGCGCAACCCUUAUCCUUUGUUGCCAGCGGUCCGGCCGGGAACUCAAAGGAGACUGCCAGUGAUAAACUGGAGGAAGGUGGGGAUGACGUCAAGUCAUCAUGGCCCUUACGACCAGGGCUACACACGUGCUACAAUGGCGCAUACAAAGAGAAGCGACCUCGCGAGAGCAAGCGGACCUCAUAAAGUGCGUCGUAGUCCGGAUUGGAGUCUGCAACUCGACUCCAUGAAGUCGGAAUCGCUAGUAAUCGUGGAUCAGAAUGCCACGGUGAAUACGUUCCCGGGCCUUGUACACACCGCCCGUCACACCAUGGGAGUGGGUUGCAAAAGAAGUAGGUAGCUUAACCUUCGGGAGGGCGCUUACCACUUUGUGAUUCAUGACUGGGGUGAAGUCGUAACAAGGUAACCGUAGGGGAACCUGCGGUUGGAUCACCUCCUU
rnacentral:rRNA from 2 species